GCGAUAGUGGCGUAGUUGGUACCGCGCGACCUUGCCAAGGUCGAGACCGGGGGUUCGAGCCCCGUCUAUCGCG
rnacentral:tRNA from 1 species